rnacentral:misc_RNA from 1 species
UACGUAGGGUGCGGGCGUUAAUCGGAAUUACUGGGCGUAAAGCGUGCGCAGGCGGUUUUGUAAGACAGGCGUGAAAUCCCCGGGCUCAACCUGGGAACUGCGCUUGUGACUGCAAGGCUAGAGUACGGCAGAGGGGGGUGGAAUUCCACGUGUAGCAGUGAAAUGCGUAGAGAUGUGGAGGAACACCAAUGGCGAAGGCAGCCCCCUGGGUCGAUACUGACGCUCAUGCACGAAAGCGUGGGUAGCAAACAGG